rnacentral:rRNA from 1 species
UUUCCGUAGGUGAACCUGCGGAAGGAUCAUUACCGAAAUCGUCUUGGGAUCUUGGACGCAAUUUUUGAACAAGCCAUGCGGAUUAGUUGCUCUGCGGGUGCGCUCUCUUCGGGGGGCGCAUCCGUCUGGUCUACUCUUCUCUCAUCUGUCGCACAGGGAUUAUUGGCGCGCGGCUCUUCCUCGGGGGGGUCGGCGCCGGAAUUCUUCAGGGACGCUCUUGCUUCUGCCGCCGGCUUUUUGGGGGGGCUUCGGGGUGCUCACGGACGGACUCUGCGUAGCGCGAUAGGACUUCUCUCUCUUCAACUGACUCCCCCCGUUAACACAGGGCGAGCCAGGCGAGCGAGCGAGGUGGAAUUGGGCUGCGAGAACGGAGACCGGACACCGAGGAUCGUGGAGGCUCGACAAGAAACUACUGGUUGGAGGCGAGAGCUACUUAGGCACCGAAAACCCCGUGAAACAACAAUCGUUAUGCGAUGUCGGGCGAGAGGCGUCUCGCCGAGCUCUUCGUGAGUUCGAAACAAAGCGCUACCCACAAACCACACCAAACUCUGAAUCUGAACUCAAAAGGAGGCGAAGAGCGCUUCGCGGCGCGUCGCCCCCUCAACCUUUAACGUUGUAAAACUUUCAGCGACGGAUGUCUUGGCUCCCACAACGAUGAAGAACGCAGCGAAAUGCGAUACGUCUUGCGACUUGCAGAAUCCAGUGAAUCAUCAAAACUUUGAACGCAUCUUGCGCUUCCGGGAUAUGCCUGGGAGCAUGCUUGUCGGAGUGUCUGUUGACACAUCUCGCCCCCCCGUCUUUUUUCGCGAGAAGAAAGGCGAGAGGGCGGACUCUGCGUGUUCCGGAGCGCGAGCUCCGAGUGCACCGAAUCUCUUGAACGCGAGACCUCUGCCGCUUGAUUGCACUAGAGUUGUUGACGGCGUGUCUGCUUCGGCGGCGCGACUCUCUACUCGACACGUGCCUUUUCGCGACAGUCGUCGUAGUUCCGGUCGCGCGCCUUGUUCAUAGGCGCAAAACCCCAACUUUCGUUCGGACCUCCGAUCAAGCAAGAGGACCCGCUGAAUUUAAG